AACGAACCUUCGGGUUAGUGGCGGACGGGUGAGUAACGCGUGGGAAUCUGCCCUCAGGAGGGGGAUAACGGCCGGAAACGGCCGCUAAUACCCCAUAUGCCGAGAGGUGAAAUGAAUUUCGCCUGAGGAUGAGCCCGCGUCUGAUUAGCUAGUUGGUGAGGUAAGAGCUCACCAAGGCAUCGAUCAGUAGCUGGUCUGAGAGGAUGAUCAGCCACACUGGGACUGAGACACGGCCCAGACUCCUACGGGAGGCAGCAGUGGGGAAUUUUCCGCAAUGGGCGAAAGCCUGACGGAGCAACGCCGCGUGAGGGAUGAAGGCCUCUGGGCUGUAAACCUCUUUUAUCAAGGAAGAAGAUCUGACGGUACUUGAUGAAUAAGCCACGGCUAAUUCCGUGCCAGCAGCCGCGGUAAUACGGGAGUGGCAAGCGUUAUCCGGAAUUAUUGGGCGUAAAGCGUCCGCAGGCGGCCCUACAAGUCUGCUGUUAAAAAGUGGAGCUUAAUUCCAUCAUGGCAGUGGAAACUGUUGGGCUCGAGUGUGGUAGGGGCAGAGGGAAUUCCCGGUGUAGCGGUGAAAUGCGUAGAUAUCGGGAAGAACACCAGUGGCGAAGGCGCUCUGCUGGGCCAUCACUGACGCUCAUGGACGAAAGCCAGGGGAGCGAAAGGGAUUAGAUACCCCUGUAGUCCUGGCCGUAAACGAUGAACACUAGGUGUCGGGGGAAUCGACCCCUCCGGUGUCGUAGCCAACGCGUUAAGUGUUCCGCCUGGGGAGUACGCACGCAAGUGUGAAACUCAAAGGAAUUGACGGGGGCCCGCACAAGCGGUGGAGUAUGUGGUUUAAUUCGAUGCAACGCGAAGACCUUACCAGGAUUUGACAUCCUGCGAAUCUCUUGAAACUUGAGAGUGCCUUCGGGAGCGCAGUGACAGGUGGUGCGUGCUGUCGUCAGCUCGUGUCGUGAGAUGUUGGGUUAAGUCCCGCA
rnacentral:rRNA from 1 species